CGUCCUAUUAGCUAGUUGGUGAGGUAAUGGCUCACCAAGGCUACGAUGGGUAGGGGUUCUUAGUGGAAGGUCCCCCACACUGGCACUGAGAUACGGGCCAGACUCCUACGGGAGGCAGCAGUAGGGAAUAUUGGUCAAUGGGCGCAAGCCUGAACCAGCCAUGCCGCGUGCAGGAUGAAGGCUCUCUGAGUUGUAAACUGCUUUUGUACAGGAGCAAAAAAAUCCCUGCGGGGGUUCUUGAGAGUACUGUAAGAAUAAGCACCGGCUAAUCCCGUGCCAGCAGCCGCGGUAAUACGGGAGGUGCAAGCGUUAUCCGGUUUUAUUGGGUUUAAAGGGUGCGUAGGCGGCUUAUUAAGUCAGUUGUGAAAUCCUAGUGCUUAACGCUAGAACUGCGAUUGAUACUAUU
rnacentral:rRNA from 1 species